AGCAGCCGCGGUAAUUCCAGCUCCAAUAGCGUAUAUUAAAGUUGUUGCAGUUAAAAAGCUCGUAGUUGAAUUUCGGGAUCAUCAGGUUGGUCGUGCCUUCGGUAUGUACUUGCUUCGGUGGUCCCUCCUUCUUGAAGAACCGUAAUGACAUUAAUUUGUUGUUGCGGGGAAACAGGACUGUUACUUUGAAAAAAUUAGAGUGUUUAAAGCAGGCAAUCGCUUGAAUACAUUAGCAUGGAAUAAUGAAAUAGGACGUUCGAUCCUAUUUAGUUGGUUUCUAGGAUUGACGUAAUGAUUAAUAGGGAUAGUUGGGGGCAUUAGUAUUCAAUUGUCAGAGGUGAAAUUCUUGGAUUUAUUGAAGACUAACUACUGCGAAAGCAUUUGCCAAGGAUGUUUUCAUUAAUCAAGAACGAAAGUUAGGGGAUCGAAGACGAUCAGAUACCGUGUAGUCUUAACCAUAAAC
rnacentral:rRNA from 1 species